GGAUACCAUUUGGAAACAGGUGCUAAUACCGGAUAAUAAAGCAGAUCGCAUGAUCAGCUUUUGAAAGGCGGCGUAAGCUGUCGCUAAGGGAUGGCCCCGCGGUGCAUUAGCUAGUCGGUAAGGUAACGGCUUACCAAGGCGACGAUGCAUAGCCGAGUUGAGAGACUGAUCGGCCACAUUGGGACUGAGACACGGCCCAAACUCCUACGGGAGGCAGCAGUAGGGAAUCUUCCACAAUGGACGCAAGUCUGAUGGAGCAACGCCGCGUGAGUGAAGAAGGUUUUCGGAUCGUAAAGCUCUGUUGUUGGUGAAGAAGGAUAGAGGUAGUAACUGGCCUUUAUUUGACGGUAAUCAACCAGAAAGUCACGGCUAACUACGUGCCAGCAGCCGCGGUAAUACGUAGGUGGCAAGCGUUGUCCGGAUUUAUUGGGCGUAAAGCGAGCGCAGGCGGAAAAAUAAGUCUAAUGUGAAAGCCCUCGGCUUAACCGAGGAACUGCAUCGGAAACUGUUUUUCUUGAGUGCAGAAGAGGAGAGUGGAACUCCAUGUGUAGCGGUGGAAUGCGUAGAUAUAUGGAAGAACACCAGUGGCGAAGGCGGCUCUCUGGUCUGCAACUGACGCUGACGCUCGAAAGCAUGGGUAGCGAACAGGAUUAGAUACCCUGGUA
rnacentral:rRNA from 1 species